GGGAAGAUGGUUUAGUGGUAGAGUGCUUGCCUUGUAUGCAUGAGGCCCUGGGUUCGAGUCCUCAGCCCC
rnacentral:tRNA from 1 species